rnacentral:rRNA from 1 species
AAUCUUCCACAAUGGGCGAAAGCCUGAUGGAGCAACGCUGCGUGAGUGAAGAAGGAUUUCGGAUCGUAAAACGCUGUUGUAAGGGAAGAACAAGUACAGUAGUAACUGGCUGUACCUUGACAGUACCUUAUUAGAAAGCUACGGCUAACUACCUGCUAGCAGCCGAGGUAAUACGUAGGUGGCAAGCGUUGUCCGGAAUUAUUGGGCGUAAAGCGCGCGCAGGCGGUCCUUUAAGUCUGAUGUGAAAGCCCACGGCUCAACCGUGGAGGGUCAUUGGAAACUGGGGGACUUGAGUGCAGAAGAGGAAAGUGGAAUUCCAAGUGUAGCGGUGAAAUGCGUAGAGAUUUGGAGGAACACCAGUGGCGAAGGCGACUUUCUGGUCUGUAACUGACGCUGAGGCGCGAAAGCGUGGGGAGCAAACA